rnacentral:lncRNA from 1 species
GUUAAUGUGGGGAUUUUGCUCAAUUAAACUGAGCAUGCAGUGAGUGCUCUGUCCACAUCUAUGAAGGAAAAAUCUUAAUUGAAGAGAGAACACCAAGGAAAAAUGCAACACAUAACACUGUCUUUACACAGUGGGCACUACUGUCUAUAGUCACCUCGAGUCAUAUGGAUUUUGAACAGAGUGCCUAGCAUUAUUAGGUUUAUGCUGUAUGUCAAGGAGAUUAUUGAUGCUUUUUAUCUUGUUCUUUUUACAGAAGUAUUGUACAGAUGCACUUGGCUGUUAUGUGACAGUGUAAGAACACAUAGAGUUCAUGGUGACAUUUUCUUCGUGUUCUUUUCGGUGCAUACAACUACAGCUGCUCAUCACAUUCAUCUGUGCCAGAAGAACAAACAACAUUCAGCUUUAAUGUAUGAUUGAGCUAUGCAGCCUUGGAUUUCCACUAACCAGCUUUUCUUCUCCACUAUCCUACUCCAGUUCUCACUCAGAUACUCUGCAAGGGGGAUGUCACAGGAAAAGACAACAUGAUCAUGCUGUCUGUCAGUCCAUCAUAUUAACCCCUACGCACUCUCAGCUCCUCUGUGUCAGCAUGAUGCCAGAGCAGGGAACAGCUGGGAGAGGCCUUCACAGGUGGAGGGGGCUCGAACACAGAGGAAGAUGCUGGCUGGGCCUCUGCAGUUCUUUCAGCUGGACAGAGGGGUGGGCAGGUGGAGAUGCAGUUCCCAGCUUCAGUAGGCUAGUUUCUGUUAAUCCAGAUUUUGAGGGGGACUUUGUGAAUGUUUAUAUUCAUCUGACUAUUUGUAUACUGACUUGGAAGAUUCACCAAAUUUUAGUCCAUGCUUCUAAGCUUCAUAUUGCCAUGCUGCCCUGCACCUUCGCCCUUUUUCUUGUGGCUAAUAAAGCAAGAGCUUUACAUCCUCCACCUGAACACGAGCAUAUUAUUUUUAGGCAGAAUAUUGCUUCUUUUCCAUUUGUCCUGCAGCUGCCUUGUGAAGAGACAAGAUGCCUGAGCAGCAUGCUGUGGGGAGGAA